rnacentral:rRNA from 1 species
UACGAAGGGGGCGAGCGUUGUUCGGAUUUACUGGGCGUAAAGGGCGCGCAGGCGGUUCUGUUUGUCGAGUGUGAAAGCCCCGGGCUCAACCUGGGAACUGCGCUCGAAACGGCGGAACUAGAGUUCGGGAGAGGAGAGUGGAAUUCCCAGUGUAGAGGUGAAAUUCGUAGAUAUUGGGAAGAACACCGGUGGCGAAGGCGGCUCUCUGGACCGAGACUGACGCUGAGGCGCGAAAGCGUGGGGAGCAAACAGG